GUCAAAUUGAGCAAAAAGAUUUGAGCAAAAUCCGUUUGCGCUAAGAAGAUUUGAGCAAAUUUUGCUCAAAAAUUGUUGAUAAUUUUCAGAAAUCAUUCUUAAAUUUUAGAUCAUUCAAGAUCCUACAAAAAAUAUAUCAUAUUAUUUUUGUAAUCGAUAAUAACAUCUAAUGAAUGGUCAAAAUCAAUAGAACUGUCGAUAAACUGAAAAAAGUGUUAAAACGAUGGUGUGUACCAACAAUUUUUAUCGACGAAUGAUAAGUUUAAGCUCUGACUUUUACGGCCACAGAAAGCAGUCGAUCUAACUGAAAAUCGAAGUGAUCGGCUGUACAUUUUCUGAUUUUUCAUCGAAAUUUACAUUUUUAAUUGAGUUUGAUGAAAAAUCUGCUUCCAUAAUUGAACAAAAGCCGGUGAAAGUUUCAAAUUUGAUCUCGAUUAUGACGAAAACUAAACCUGAGUUUAAAAUUGUGUUUGCUCUAAUCAGUUUUGCUCUUGAAUGUCUUAGCGCAAAAGGUUUUUGCUCAAAGCUCUUUGCUCAAAAUAACCCAAAUCCAUCAGAAUAAUAAACUUUCUGUUCCUUGGUAAAACAUGAACGUUUCUUUACCCUUUUCUUUCUUUAAGAUGUUAAGCUCUAUUCUUUUUCCUCUUCCUCUGUACACAUUGUUCCAUAUUGUCUAUCUUCUUCUUCUUCUUCUUCUUCCUCUUUAUCUUUAUCUUCUUUGCUCUUUUCUUUACCUUUUACCUGUGGCUACUAAUUGCCCAAACACUUUCAUCAUCGAUAUUAUGCUUAAUAUGAAAACACAAAAUCAACAACAGAAGAUACAAAAAUCAACAAAAAAUCGCUUAUAAAUAAAACUUCAUUAACGUAAUUUAAUUUACAAUAAUAACUUUCUUUCCGUCUCUAAUCUCAUUCGGUAAUCAAAUUCAAUAUUGAAAAUCAGAUAAUUUACGCACACACACACACACACACACAUACCAAAGCAAUUAGAUUAUUUCAUGAUAAAUUUUUCUUGCUCUUCAUCAAGAGCCUUUCAUGGUUAGCCUUUAACUGGCAUAAGAUUGACAAAUCAGUUAAACAUUAUCCAUAAAUUAUGAUUAUUAUGAUAAUCUUUAAUUGGGUGAUUGAUCAUCUCUAACUGUCCAUCACACACGAAUUGCAAGUUGAGAUGAAAAGUAUGAGCAAAAAUUUGAAUGAAUGAACAUUUUGUUUGUUCAACUUUUUCCGACUCAAGUUUCAAGAGAAACGAAAGUCGCAAUUUUCUUGAACAAUUCAACUUUUAAACGUUUCUUGACUCUUUUUUUCUACUCCAUGCACAAAUGUUUGGUUAAAAGAGUAGAACCAUUGUGAGACUCUGAAACAAAAAAAGGGAUAAUUGUUGAUUAUUAUCAAGGCAAUCUGAGUUGGAAAGAAAAUGAGUAAACAAUGUAAUUCUGAAAUGAACAACAGAAAAGAAAAAAUUACUCAAAUUUUCAGUAGUCAACAUGAUUCGGCAUUAAUAUUUUCAUUAUUGUCUCUUUUCGCUCAUUUCUUUCUCUCUUUAACCUCAACUUUCCAUUAUUCUGAUUGUGCUUCAUCAUUGACUCAAGUCAUGGUGGAAGAAAAACAAAAACAAAGAUGUUAACAUUCAACAUGAAAUGAUACGAGGCUCAUAUGAGUAUUGAAUUAAUAGACCAGAAAUCACAAAGAAAUAGACUUGGAACUUUACCUAACAAGUAAAAAUGAAAAAAACAAGAAUCGAGUCGCGAAAGGGAAGCAGUUCACCGAACCACUUUUUGAUCGUUAAAAUUGUCAAAACAGUUUUAGGUUCAAAUAUAAAAUUACUCUAAUUUGUCCAUGUUCACCAAACAUUUUUAUCGACAAAAAAUGAGUUUCAGAUCUCUAACCCUUACAGUCACUCGAAGUGUCAGGUUUAACCGAUUUGUUGUUCCGAAAUCAAAAUCAAUCUCAGUUUAGGCUUGACCCUUGUAUUCAUCAAGCCUAAAGUCUUAUCAAUCUCUUGUUAACCAAUAAGGCAAAAUAACCCGAUGAGUCUAGGGUUUAGUCAUUUGGUUAAAACUUUGAGUCAAAUCUUUAAACUCAAGCAAUUAAGCUUAGGCUAGGUUACGUUAGGUUAGAUAAUAAUCAUUGAACAAACUUUCAACUACUUUUCAAGUUUAAAUUGAUAAAGAUUGACUUUUUGUGUCAGCCUUAUAGAUGAUCGUUUAACGUCUUUAGUGAAAGCCAAGUUAAAGUGAAACUAGAUUUGCCCUUGUAACCAGAAGUCAAUUACUUGUUUCACAUCUUUACUGCUUGUCGACUGUUUUAUUUGUUUUCAGUUGCCAUUUUUUGUCAUUUACCUUAUGCAAAAAGGUAACGUUUUUAUCUAUCAUAUUCAAUCUAAUUUACUUUUACUUGUCGGUCGUUAUUAGCAUGCAAAAGUAAUAUUCAGUUAACAGUUUAAAAGUGUUUCACAAUACAAUUUUCUGCAUCAACUGGUGAUCACAUUUGAAGCAAUGAAGAUGAAAACGAUUAUGAUGAUGAUGUGCAAGAUGAGAAAAAAUAGACGCAAAUACAAAGUAACAAAAAAAAAACAAGUCAACAUUUACUGUUUAAAUAUUCAACCAACUGAACCAAAUGUGCGUUCAUUAACGCAACAAUCAAACGUAACCAAAACAGUAACUCAACAAAACAAACAGAAGAAAAGAGAAAAAAAAGUCUGUUGAGUUGGAAUAAUAUUAUCAGCUUGAUAAAACUUUCACCAAAACUGUUCCAGAUAAUUCACAGAUUUUUCUCGUUUCAUGAAACAGAAUAGAAGAGAGGAAAAAAACAAAUGUUGAAAAGAAAAAAAAUUUUUGCAUUUGAUUGAGUAAAAGAGGGUAAAAAAUCAAUUCAUGAUAAUGAUGACAAUUUAUAAUAAAAGUUAUCAAGUUAUAGAAGAGAUUCAAAAUGAGAUUCAGAGAAAGGGUGAAAAUUCAAUUGAACCCUUUCCCAAUCAACUACAGUUAUUGAAAGUUGAACAAAAUUUGAAUGAAAAAUUUUGGAAAGAAAAAUCAUUUGAAGGGAGAGAGAAAAAAAACAAAAGAAGAAAAACUGAAUUCCAAAUGAAUUUCUAUUCUCGUCUUUUACUCGAUCUUGCUUGGUUAAACCAUCAUCAAGGUAAUCUUGUUCAUUGCAUUGAUUCAUCUUCCUUCAUUUUCCUCCUUUGCUUGGCCUUUGAUCUGGCCAUCAAGGCUUCUUUGCAUGAUAAAAGAGACUCUCUCAUCUUCAUCAUUUUGCAUCUUUUUUCAUUCUAAUUUAUGCAAAUUUUGUUCAUUUUCUGUGUGUGUGUGAAGACUAAAGAAGAAAAAAAUGAUUCUCUUGCAUCGAAUCACGUUGUAUCAUUUUCAUCAUUAUCUUCAUGAGUAGAUAUCAUUGUUUGCAUGAAAUUGUAUCAUCAAAAGGUUUUCAGAUUCAUCAGUUGAUUAAAGAUGAAAAUAUUGAAAAUUGCAUUUCUAAUAAUCUCAAGCAAUUUACUUUGAUUAUGCCAAAGUUAUCAUGAUUAAACCCAGGCAAACUUUUCAUAAUUCAAAAGUCAUGAACUUUUGGUUAAAGCAUUUCAGUUUCAUUUGAUUGAAAAUGAAUAUUGAAAAGGUAAAGAAAAGGAAAAAGUUUUCAGAAGAAAAAUAAAGUUUUACUCUUUAACUGAUUGAACGGAAAAAACAAUGAAUGUUGGAGAGGCAAAUGUGCCAAUCAAAGUACUAACGGACCGGAUAAUUGUUCAACUCAAUUUGGAACAAAGUGGUUCAGAUAAAAGUCGAAACAAGUGUUCACAUUAAAGGAUUCACUUCGAUAACAGGAAACCAGAUUGGGAUAUCAAAACAACAGAUCAAAGGAUCACGAAAAACUUGUCAGUCAAUAAAGACAGUAAACCUUAUUUCUCUUCAUCACCAUCAUCAUUACCAUCAUCUUGUUCAUCGUUUCUCAUCAUCGUUUACCAGCAAAGAAUAAACAACUGAAGAGAAGAAGAAGAAGGAGAAGAAGAAAAAAAACGUUGAAUGAUUAGCGUAUCCGUGAGGAGAGCUUUAAGCUUUACCUUUUAGGUGAUCCCAAUUGAUAUUGGAUAGACCAUCAAAAGUUAACCAGCAAGUCAACAUUAAUGCAUCAUCAUCAUCAUCAUCUUUAUCAUCAGUUUCGUUGUCUUGUUCAUCUCUUUUGACUUUCUUCAAACCUCAUCAUAUUGGUCUCAUUGAGAGGUCAGAUUGAGAUUGAUCAUUUGAAGGAGAAGAAGAAGAAAAAAAGAAAAAGAAGAAAAACAUUUUAUUCCCUCUCUUUUUUUUCUGACUUUUAAUUUGCUCCCGGCUAUAGACGGACAUUUUCGCUCUCUUACCUGAAACCAAAAUGUUGACCCUGUUGACUGUUGACAAAAAAAGGCAUUUUGUCAAAACCACAACAGAAGAUGAGAGGAAAAGCAAAGGAACCAAUAAAAGUGACAGAACUGGGAAAAGAGGCAAAAAGCCAGAAAAAAAAGGUUAAAUCCAAUCUGGCUACAAGUAAGUGAUAAACAUUUAAUCUUUAACCGAUUGUAACAAAAGAUAAUUAAUCUCUGUCAAUUGGUUAUCUUAUACUGUGCUAUUAACUGAUACAAAUUGGAAGCAAUUACAUGUACCAAAAAUGGCAAAACAAAAGGUCUUUUAAUGACUCUUUUAAGUAUCACUUUUGUUUCACUUGAUUGAACUACAAGAGCGGUUAAUGUGCAAGUGAAGGACAAUAAUUGUUUGCCCAAUUUGACAGUGUCGAUUGUCCAACAAGUUUAACCAACAGAUCCGGUUAGGGAAAGGCUACUUAAAAGGUAGCAAUAAGUGAUCAUUUUAAAAGGUUCAACCUCAUCAACACCAAGAGAGUCAAAAAAUGGACAGAAGGUUGUUGUUCGAGUCCAACAUUUGACUUUUGGAGAAACUAUUUUUUUCCUCUCUUCUCUCUCUCUCUGCCCCGUUUCAACCUUAUGUUACUUUCAAAAAAAGUCAUUUCACAUUAACCAAUGUAAACUGGAAAAGUCCAGGUUCAAGUCUCAAUGUCCUUGUUGACUGUUUUACCAUGUCCAGUGGUUGUAGUUGCAAAUGAAAUAUGUCGAGUUAAAACAAUGUAAAAGUGAGAAGGAAACUGAGAGAGAGCAAGAAAAGGCCAUUAACCAAAGAGCGUGUCUAUUCGAAGUUUCUUCUUGUUGGUUACAAAAGUCACGGUGUUUGCAACCGAUAAACGGGUAAACACCAGCAUCUCACCAGGAUGAUAAACUUAUCCUCUUCCACUUUUUUUUCUCACUCAUUUCUGGUUCAAACUUUUCCCUGCAAUUUUUCUCUCUCUUUCUCUUCUUCUGCUCUCUGUAUAUUCAUCUUGUAAUGGAAACUGAUUUGUAUGCAUGUCAGAACGUGUGAUGGGAGUGAGAGUCUAGCCUUUCUUUUCCGGACAGCAUUUAACACAAACACACUCACACACAGCAUAGAGACACGUCAAAUGCAUGGUUAUAUACAAGUCGCAAAGAAACUCAAUUAAAUGUAUAAACAGGCAGAAACAGAGGCAACAACAUCCAUUGUUGCACCUCUCAUAUUGUUGGUCCAAAAAGGCAUUUGUUAAAAGGCAUUCAGUUGAACUUGAACAAAAUUUCAAGAUUUCUUUUUUUUUCUCCUCUUUUUUUUUCGCAAUUUCACCUUGCAAUGACAGGUCAACCUGACCAUACUUUAGAUAACAAAAAUGACCCUUUUCUCUGGUAAACUCAUCAUUAUGUUUUUUCUCAUAUAUUUGGUUCUUCGUUGUCGUUCAUCAAUUGGAAACAUUUUUCGAUUUUUCUUCUUCUUCUCUCACCUUGCACACAAUGAAAUUUAAUAGACAUAAGUAGAAAGGAGGUGGAAUAGGAGGAGUAAAGUGGGAGGGAAUGAGAGACGGAAAGAGAUAGAUUAAUGAGCUGUAAAUACAUGUUAGUUGAAAUGUUAAAACCCAUCAUCAAAUAGGAGGAUAAUCACAGUGUGUUUAUCAUAACCUAAUAUUUGUUAUUUUGCUCAGUAAACAUGUCUUUACACUUUACAAUUGAACAGCAAACACAAAACACAUUCACCACUUAAUAACUCAUCAUUAUGUUUUAAUAUUUGAUGAAACAAAAAGCAUCUUGUUUCACCAUUUCCAGUUAAAUUAAGUUUUCAAUGACAACUUGAUUAUAACAUAAAACAUUUUUGAAAAGUUUGCAAAAAAAAAUGAAGCGAAAUAAAAUUGAGAAAAAGAUUUUUCUUCUUCUUCUUCUACAAAAUUGAUUAACAAAACUUAUUCCUAACGCUUUACAAUGGUAACUGUGAAAAGGUUGAAAAAUUAACUCGCUUUCAUUCAACUUGAUAAUUACCUUUGUUUGUGCAUUUUUCUUGUUCGCCUCCUUUACCUGCUUGGUUGAUUUAGUGUUCAAAGGAGUGCAGUUCAAUUCUGUUAAUGUGUACAUGAUUCCUGAUUAAACAGAAUGAAGAGAGAAAAGAGAGAAAAGAAAAUUUCUUGCAAAAUCAUGUAAACCAGGUUUGGUGGUAUCUCAACCAUGGAAUCUGAAAGUAAAGAGUAAUUUUGUUUGAAGAGUUAAAAUGGUUUGGAUGAUGAGCGACGAGGCACAAAUUAUGUUGAGUGGGAGUUGCAAUGAACAAAUGACCAAAAAGGUUACUAAAUGAGUGUCCAAAAGUUGUCACUAAUAACUCAAUGAUUGACAAAAGGAAAAGGUAGCAAAAAAAGAGAAAUAAAUUUUGGCCAAAAAAAGUCGAUUACGAGGAAUAUCAAGAGUUGGAAAGUUGAACGGAAAAUGAGGCUAAAAUUGAAAGGUAAACUCGAGGCUAAGCAAAUGAUUAAUAUCGUCCGUUGUGUUGGCGUACGCUUGGAUCAACAUCAUCUUCCAAAUCAUGUGUGAUAUCAUCAACCAUUUUAAUGAUAAUCAUCUUUGCUUUUUUUGUGCAAAAAAACAUUUUCACCCAAAAAAAGAAGAGAGAGAAAAAUGAAGAACGAAAAAUUUUUCACUCUUUUACUGGUUCUUUUUACCUUUUCAUCGUUACCUUGUUGGACAGAAUGAACUCGUCAUGAGAAUUGAAAUUUUCAUUGUUUUUUCCCAAUCUUGUUUUGUAACAAUCACUUUAAUUUGUUUUGUUUGCUCAGUCAUCGUUAGAGAGAAACUUAAGGCCAUCAGAACUUUUUCCUUUUUUACCUUGUUCUUUGUUUGCUCCUGCAUGAUGGAGCAUCAUGGUUUUCCCUCAAUUACUAGAUUCAUCAUGAUGAUCAGUUAGCUACACUUUGAUUGAACAUUUUCGUGUUUUUAGAAAAGGCGAAAAUGCCUUUUUUCUCUCUUCUUUUUUCUUCUUCCUACUCUUUCAGUUUUCGUUUUGCUUCUUCUUCUUCUUUUUGUACAUUUAUCCUAUUCGGGUGUUCAUUGUUUACCUGUCGAGUUGAGUCGAUGCAAGGAUGAGUAUCAAUCUAUUAAAGCAUGGAAGGAAAGAGCGCAGUUGAAACAAAAGAAAUGCUCAUUUCUGUCGAAUCAUGUUUUUUACACUUUUGAUCAUUGAUCCACUGACAGCACCGUUAGUAUCAGUUAAGGUAAAUUGCUCUUUAUUAGCUCUUAGAUAUUGAUCAAUGGCCAUCACUGACUUACCUGUUUACCCGUAAACAUGAGCAACAACAACAAAUAUCAAGAGUUUUUGCAGAAAAGAGAAAAGAGAAAAAAAAGAAUCAUUUAAAUAUGUAAACACAACUGAUGAGAUGAUUAGCUGAUGAAUAUCAUGUAAAUGUUGAGUGAAACAAUUGAACCAAGGAAAUGGACAGCAACAAAUGAUUGUAAAGCUCAAGAUAUCAAGAGACUGAUAGAGCAAGAUGAGCCAAAUUAUAUUAACAAGGUAAGACAACAAAUUAGCUUGAUUGAUUGCAUGUUAGUGACAUCUAUCAAAAUAUUUAUCCAGUUGAGUUGCAGCGAAACAAGAAGAAAAAAAAUUUUCUUCUUCACCAAGAAUGAGAAAGAAGAAGAAGAAAAAAACCAUCAAGGUAAUCAACAUCAUCAUUAUCUUCAUCAUGAAUACGCUUUAAGCAAAGACAGGAAAAGGGCGAAAUAAAGAAGAAGAUGAAGAUGAAGAAGCUGUUUGCUUUGUGAAACCGGAAACUGUGGAUGAUAUAUUCAUUUUUUCUUCUUCUUCUUCUCGUUAUUUGAUGCUUACUUUGCUCUUCAAACGAAAUUUGCGAAUGCAUAAUUUAAAUGCAUUUUUACCUGAGUUAUCAUCCUGUUUGAGGCCAACUUUGAUUUGUUUCUUCUUCUUCUUCUUUUCGUCUAUUUUUCCACACUUUCGUUUAAUCUGUGAUUCUCUCUCUCUCCCUCUGUGACCGGAAUUGUUAAACCUUUAACUCUGCGUAACAAGCGCAUCUCUGUAAAGAUCGUUAUUUAGUAGUCUUUAACUUGGUAAGUCUCUCGGGUGCGGUUCAAUGGUACAACUUACCGUGCAACUUUUUUUUUGUUGGUGCGCUCAAGAAGAGGAAAUGAAAAAACGAGAGAAGAGAGAGAAAAAAAACUGUAAGAUUCUCUUCUUGUUCAAUCUCAUCUGAUUAGCAAUUAUAAUGAUAUUUAAAUGAGAAUCCGAUGAGAUGCAAAGGUAUUCACGGUCGAUAUGUUAAAAAGACAUUUGAAUGAGUGUUAACAGCAAACUGCGGCUUACCUUUUCUCUCAUCCAUUGAGAGACUCUUUCAGUAGUCCUUUACUCUCAUGGACCAUUUUUAUGCUGAUUUUUGCUCUCUCCUCUUCUGUUCAUCCUUCUUCAUCACAAUCAUCAUCAUCUACUUCAUUCAUUCACAUGGUUCGUUUGUUGUCUGCAAACAUCCAAUGAACACAAGAGUAGCCAGAAGCUCAACUAGAAAAAACAAAAUUAAAGUAACCCUCACUACAAAAGGUAUUUGCAAUACUUUUUUUUGUGUUGUACAACUUUUAAUCGUAAUCAUACUUUUUUUGUGUUGAGAUGCUUCUUCAUCUUAUUUUGCAUAACUUGUAUUGUAUUUUUGUACACAUUUUACAUUUUCGUUUUUUUUCUCGCUUCUCAUCUCAACUUGCAAGGCUGGACUUUUGCAGGAAUAUGAUGAUAAUUUUAUCCAACUUUGCUUCCCCUCUUCAAAGAUGAAACAACAAGUUGACAGAAGAAGCAAAGAUGAUGCAAAUGUUAUAAGUAUCAUCGCAUCGGCUCGCGCCAUCAAACAGAACCUACAUGGGGCCAAGAAUAAAUAACUUUUCUUCUUUUCCUCACUAUUCUUCUUCUUGUUGUUCAUCAAACUCUUCAAGGUUUCCUUUCUCUCUCUCUCUUUAUAAUACUUUUUCAAUCAUCUUCAUCCUCUUCUUUACCUAGUUUUAUUUGCUUUCAAUUUUUAUUACCAAAACUCACUUACAUUAUAAUGAGCAACUUAAAAAAUGCUCAAACAUUACAAUGAAAAGAACAUGUUGAAAGAUGAUGAAAAAAAACAAGAUGAGAAACUUCUUUUACAGUAGCAUUUCUCUCAUCUUGACUCUUCAUUGUAAAAUCUCUCUUCAUCUCACGAUCUUGUUAGUUACCUAUCUAUGCAUCUUUUAUCUGAUUGUCCAUCUAGCUUUUUUUCAUCAUCGCUCAUCACUAUUUGCUUCUGCAAGUUAAUUUCAUCUUCAUCAGAUUCUCCUUUUAUGCCAUUCAUCCCCAUCAUCAUAACCAUCAUUUCGUUUCAUUAGCCGGUUGCGUAAAGGCAAUGCAAGCAAAAUUUUGCAACCCAACAGAGUUAACCUCUUCCCAUCAAGUGCUAUACCUAUUUAGGGUCAUUUUCACACAAAAUUUAUUUUCAUUUUGACCAUUAUUUUUAUCAUUCUCAUCAUUCUCACCGUCUUCGCCAUCUUCUUUAUCACACUUUAUCUUCCAAGUCUUUUCAUUUCAUCAUCAUCAUCAUGAUUGCUAUUUCAUUUACUAUUUCAUCAUUUGCUGAUUGAGUCUGUUAUCAGGAAUGAGCUCAACCUAACAAGGUCAACCCUGUCGGAUCAAAGUUGGCUUACAAAGAGAGGCUUUUAUGGCAUUCAUUUACUUGCCGAUUUUGCGUAACCUUGGCUGAAGACCACUCAUCUUUCAACCUAACAAAGUGAGCCUCGUCCCAUCAAAUCUGAACCCCAUUCAGGGCGCUUGUCACGUUUAAAAUGGUUUUCAUUUUCAUGAUAUUCAUUUCACUAAUUGCACAUUUUUUAGUUUCACACACUUUGCUAUAAGAUAUUCAUCUACAUCUUUAUUUCAUUUUUUUUGUUCAACUUUUGAAUUAAAAUUUAAAUUCACUUAAAUUAUUUUUCAUUAAUUAACUAAACCGCUUACAUAAUUUAAUAAUGAGUUUAACAAAUUUAUAUAUUUCAACUCAUUAAAAGUCGAUAAAUCAACUUUUCUUUUUUUACCUUUUGACUUGGAAUCAAUAAAUUAUUUAUUCAAUUUACUUUACCUUUUGACAAAUGUGCAAAUGAAUGAAGACAAUUAAUUGAUCAACUUUUAUCAAGUAAAUCGCGACAAAAAAGCAAUUCAACUCCCAACAGGUAAACCCGUUAAACUUUAAAGUAAAUAUUGACCAUCAUGUAAAAUCAUUGAGAAUCAAUGAUAACCUUGAUCAAAUUUGCAGCUUGAUUACUGUUACUGAUUGAAUCACAAUGCGAUUUCAAGGUUUGCUCAUCAUCAUCAUUCAAUGAAACUUCAUUAACAAGAGUAAAACGAAGUAAAAUACCGAAAGUGAACCAUAAAAAUGAACCAUUUAACCCUGAAAUGAGAAGCACAGAAAAAAAAGAGUCAAUCAGAUGAUUAAGCUGUUCAAUCAAUUUAACUAACCAAGCAUAUAAUUUUCAUCUAAUGAGUUAAGUAAGUUUUAAUCAGCUUAGCCCUGUUUAUAUCGUCCCAAUGAGUUAUCAUUUACUGAAUUUCUAAUUUCAUCAUUUUUUUUCUUUCUUUCCUUCUGCAUCUUUCAAUUUCAACCAACUAAGAAACUCAUCAAUUCUGGAAUUCAUUUUGCAAAUUCAUUCAGCUCAGUUGCCUUCUUAAUCAACCUUAACAAACAUGAUAUAUUGGCGGGUAAUUUAAAUUUUCCUUUCAACUUAUCAACCAACAAAGUAAAGAAGAAGAAGCAAAAAACAGGUAAAAAAUGGAAAAGCGGUAAACAACAAGUUACAAGCAUCUUUACUGGUUCAUCUUUCAGGUAACAAGGUGAGUAUUAUUACUUUUGUUCCACUGUUAAAGAGAACAAGCUUAAAGUUCUUUUUUUAAGGUAAUUUAUGAAUGAUUUACAAGUCAAGCCAAGUUGAGUAAGAAGAUGAAGAUGAGGAAGAAAAAGAAGCAAAAAAAGGAGAUUGACUUUAAUUUAUAUUUAGCAAUUGUAAAAAAAACAACAGCAAAAAGUGCAGAAAAAAAGGUAAAAAAUGAAUUGAAAUGUUUACUGUUUACAGGUUUGGAAUGCAUUUUAAUGGUUUUAAAAGCAAAUUCAAAGUUUGAAUACUUUUUCACCUUAAAGGUGAGAUUUGACCAUUUGCACUCAAAACUCUCUCAUUUUGCAUCACAGAAAGUUGUACAAAAAAGAUUCAAACAAAAUCUCAUCUCGAGGCAAAGUCAUCAAAAUUAACGUCAAAAUUACCAACCAAAACCAUCAUCAGAAUCACCAUCAGGAUCAUCAUCAGAAUCAUCAUGAAAGUGGAAGUGCAAAUAUGCAAAAAGUUGGACAGAAAAAGAUGGACCACAAUCUUUACUCUCUCAAUUUGGCAAAAGCACAGCGUGGGAGAUGAAUGAAGAGAAGAUUAAGAUAAAAGAAAAGAAAAGGAUGAGAAUCAAGAAUCAUUUUCCUUCCCUGAGGGUGAAAUUAAAAAGGUAAGAUAAGGGAGUGUGGACAGUAUAACGAGUGGCCAGAACGAUACUCAGGUAAUAAUAGGUUAGGUUAAAUUUUCAGGCUUCAUCGUUUUUCAUUUCUUCUUUACGCACGGCACGCCUAAGAUGAUCCUUUUUAAUAACUUACAUUUCUAAUAUUAAUAAUAUUCAUAAAACACACACACACACCAUUUCAAGAAAAUUCAAAGAAUCAGUUUUCUUGUUAUUCAUCAUGAGAGACGCCAAACAUUGUGCCUCAACAUUGUGCCUUUUUUUAAGGGGGUUCAAUCUCAAAAGACAGAUGAAUGGCUAUCUUGAUCUAAUCAUAACCAGCAACAUCAAACUCAGAUGCAUUACCAACAUGUCCAAUGGCCCUUAGCACACUCUGCACUAUUUAAAUAUCAUCAUCAUAUUGUAACGUGCAAAGCGGGUUUACCGUGAAUCAUGAUGCAAGUUGAAAUGUAAGAGACAACUUUAUUAUCUGAGCGUGGUGAAACAAAGUCAAGAUUUUAACUCAGAUAUUCCUAUUUGAAAAUCUACUUUUGAUGUUACCAAGAUAUCUAACGAACUAAAUAUUGUAACAAUGAAUAUGUCAUAUUGAAAUAAAGGUUUUAUCAAAUUUUCAA